rnacentral:rRNA from 1 species
UGGGGAAUAUUGCACAAUGGGCGCAAGCCUGAUGCAGCCAUGCCGCGUGUGUGAAGAAGGCCUUCGGGUUGUAAAGCACUUUCAGCGAGGAGGAAGGUGGUGAACUUAAUACGUUCAUCAAUUGACGUUACUCGCAGAAGAAGCACCGGCUAACUCCGUGCCAGCAGCCGCGGUAAUACGGAGGGUGCAAGCGUUAAUCGGAAUUACUGGGCGUAAAGCGCACGCAGGCGGUUUGUUAAGUCAGAUGUGAAAUCCCCGGGCUCAACCUGGGAACUGCAUUUGAAACUGGCAAGCUAGAGUCUCGUAGAGGGGGGUAGAAUUCCAGGUGUAGCGGUGAAAUGCGUAGAGAUCUGGAGGAAUACCGGUGGCGAAGGCGGCCCCCUGGACGAAGACUGACGCUCAGGUGCGAAAGUGUGGGGAGCAAACAGGAUUAGAUACCCUGGUAGUCCACGCUGUAAACGAUGUCGAUUUUGGAGGUUGUGCCCUUGAGGCGUGGCUUCCGGAGCUAACGCGUUAAAUCGACCGCCUGGGGAGUACGGCCGCAAGGUUAAAACUCAAAGGAAUUACGGGGUC